rnacentral:lncRNA from 1 species
ACUUAGUUGAUCCAUGAUUUAUGUUUCAUCUUUCUUGUUACUUUUAUCUUUGGAUUUAGAUGUUCCCUUUGAUUUUCCUUUUACUUUCUUUACUUGAAAGUUAUUCGCUCUUCUUCUACUUCUCCCUCUUACAAACAUACUCUCUUUCCCAAUGUCUCUUGAUUCCUUUUUAACCUCUAGAUCUCUUGACCUCAAGACAUAUAUUACAAUUGCUUGUGAUAAUUUGUCUCUCGAGUAUUUUAUUGCAUUUCUCACAUCCUUUUAAAAGUCAGGCUGAAAAUUCCAUAAGGUGAUAGUUAAAUCCUUAUCAUCACCAACAACGACCCAAACACAUCCUAUAACACCAAUAUCAGAUUCAUCCCCCAACGCAAUAGAUCUAAGUUUGAAAAAUCAUGGCACGAAUCCCAAGGUCGUCGAAACACCCACUUCUGAUCAGAAUUUGGACAUGGGACCAUCACCAAUGAACUCAGAAGGCCCAAAAACCCCUAGGGUGGUGUCCUCGACGUCCAAUUUGGCCGGAAUUGAAGCAUUGGAAAAAGUACAGCCCGAAACUGAUUUUGAAAUUAAUUCUCGUACGAUGGUCCAACAGAUACACGCGCCAGAUAUUCAGAAUGCCCAUGAGAUGGUGAACCUUCGGUCAAAAAAUCACGGCAAUCGGAGGUCGGACGCUCCUGUUACGGCACCAAACGUAAACGGGCAGUUUGUCGAAAAAUUGCAAUUUUCGGCCUCUACGGUUCUCACCUCGGGAAACGCGCCUGACCGCGUUAUUCAGCAUGAAAUUCCGCACAAGAUUGUUGAAAAUCAUAAAUUUCUGCCUCCGGUUGAUUUUGGCCGGAAAACGGAGCCGCUAGCGGCCGGCCGGCGGCGUCCCGGCGGCCCUCCGGCAACUUUUGAUCAGAAUGUUCUUCCAGUUAAUUUGAAUCCAUUUUCAUCAUCGGUUUUUCCACAUGAGGCCCAGACAGUGCUCAAUCAGGGCCGAAAGACAUAUGC